rnacentral:rRNA from 1 species
GACGAACCGUGCGAACGUUAUUCGGAAUCACUGGGCUUAAAGCGCGUGUAGGCGGGGCGGCACGUCGGGCGCUGUAAGCCCCCGGCUCAACCGGGGAACGGGCGCCGAUACGACCGCCCUCGAGGGACGUAGGGGGACCUGGAACUUCCGGUGGAGCGGUGAAAUGCGUUGAGAUCGGAAGGAACGCCCGUGGCGAAAGCGAGGUCCUGGACGUCUGCUGACGCUGAGACGCGAAAGCCAGGGGAGCGAACGGG